rnacentral:rRNA from 1 species
CUGGGGAUUAGUGGCGAAACGGGUGAGUAACACGUGAGUAACCUGCCCUUGACUCUGGGAUAAGCGUUGGAAACGACGUCUAAUACCGGAUAUGACACCUGACCGCAUGGUCUGGGUGUGGAAAGAAUUUUGGUCAAGGAUGGACUCGCGGCCUAUCAGGUAGUUGGUGAGGUAACGGCUCACCAAGCCGACGACGGGUAGCCGGCCUGAGAGGGUGACCGGCCACACUGGGACUGAGACACGGCCCAGACUCCUACGGGAGGCAGCAGUGGGGAAUAUUGCACAAUGGGCGAAAGCCUGAUGCAGCAACGCCGCGUGAGGGACGACGGCCUUCGGGUUGUAAACCUCUUUUAGUAGGGAAGAAGCGAAAGUGACGGUACCUGCAGAAAAAGCACCGGCUAACUACGUGCCAGCAGCCGCGGUAAUACGUAGGGUGCAAGCGUUGUCCGGAAUUAUUGGGCGUAAAGAGCUCGUAGGCGGUUUGUCGCGUCUGCUGUGAAAUCUGGGGGCUCAACCCCCAGCCUGCAGUGGGUACGGGCAGACUAGAGUGCGGUAGGGGAGAUUGGAAUUCCUGGUGUAGCGGUGGAAUGCGCAGAUAUCAGGAGGAACACCGAUGGCGAAGGCAGAUCUCUGGGCCGUAACUGACGCUGAGGAGCGAAAGCAUGGGGAGCGAACAGGAUUAGAUACCCUGGUAGUCCAUGCCGUAAACGUUGGGAACUAGAUGUAGGGGCCAUUCCACGGUUUCUGUGUCGCAGCUAACGCAUUAAGUUCCCCGCCUGGGGAGUACGGCCGCAAGGCUAAAACUCAAAGGAAUUGACGGGGGGCCCGCACAAGCGGCGGAGCAUGCGGAUUAAUUCGAUGCAACGCGAAGAACCUUACCAAGGCUUGACAUAUACCGGAAACGUCCAGAGAUGGUCGCCCCGCAAGGUCGGUAUACAGGUGGUGCAUGGUUGUCGUCAGCUCGUGUCGUGAGAUGUUGGGUUAAGUCCCGCAACGAGCGCAACCCUCGUUCUAUGUUGCCAGCACGUUAUGGUGGGAACUCAUAGGAGACUGCCGGGGUCAACUCGGAGGAAGGUGGGGAUGACGUCAAAUCAUCAUGCCCCUUAUGUCUUGGGCUUCACGCAUGCUACAAUGGCCGAUACAAAGGGCUGCGAUACCGUAAGGUGGAGCGAAUCCCAAAAAGUCGGUCUCAGUUCGGAUUGAGGUCUGCAACUCGACCUCAUGAAGUCGGAGUCGCUAGUAAUCGCAGAUCAGCAACGCUGCGGUGAAUACGUUCCCGGGCCUUGUACACACCGCCCGUCAAGUCAUGAAAGUCGG